ensembl:lncRNA
UACAAACCUUUGUGCCUCUCAUGUCCCACUCUUUCCUUCUUUCUUUCUUUCUUUCUUUCUUUCUUUCUUUCUUUCUUUCUUUCUUUCUUUCUUUCUUUCUUUCUUUCUUUCUUUCUUUCUUUCUUUCUUUCUUUCUUUCUUUCUUUCUUUCUUUCUUUCUUUCUUUCUUUCUCUCUUUCUUUCUUUCUCUCUUUCUCUCUUUCUCUCUUUCUCUCUUUCUCUCUUUCUCUCUUUCUCUCUUUCUCUCUUUCUCUCUUUCUCUCUUUCUCUCUUUCUCUCUUUCUCUCUUUCUCUCUUUCUCUUUCUCUCUUUCUCUCUUUCUAUCUUUCUUUCUUUCUCUCUCUCUUUCUCUCUCUCUUUUCUCCUCUUUCUUUCUUUCUUUCUUUCUUUCUUUCUUUCUCUCUUUCUCUCUUUCUCUCUUUCUCUCUUUCUCUCUUUCUCUCUUUCUCUGUUUUAGAAUCAAUACUAAGUAUAGGUUCUAAGAUAGAUGAAUAGCAAGGGUCAGCCAGUUGAGGUUUACUGACUUGUCACAGAACUAGGAAGUGUCUGAGGCCAGAUUUGAAUCUAAGCCAGGCUCUCAAUCUACUGAGCCAACUAGCUGUGCCACUAAUGCUCUUUCAAAUAUGUAUGUAUAGAUACACACACACAUAUAUACACACACACACACACACAUUUUUUUUGCCUCUCUAGUCCAUUAUUUUGUACAAUGUAGGCAUAAAAAGAUAGUGUCUAUAAUCAUUUUUUUAAAUUUGUAAAACUGUACUCAAGGCAUUGGCUUUCCCUAAUUUUCUGUGAAUUUGAAGGAUUUCUUAGCAAAUUUAGUUCCAGUAACAUUCAUUCAAAGUGAUAACCAGAUAAUUCAUAGCCCUCUUGAUUUCUAACCACUAUAAGAGUUAGGAAUAGGGGUCUUACAGGUGUUUUAUAUUUAGGCUCAAGCUUGACUAUUAGAUUCCUCAGGCAAACAGAUAGGAGUGGAGGUGGAUGGGAAAUCAUGGACAAAAGGGACAGUGAAGAGGAAUAAUUUGAUUGUUACCACAUUGUCACUGUAUCUAGUAGCUACAUAAGCAAUACUCAGAUUAACUUGUACAUCUCAUUCAUGCUUGAAAACAUGGCCAUAGAGGAAUAUCUAGC